CAUAUCAAUAAGCGGA
rnacentral:rRNA from 2 species